UACGUAGGGGGCAAGCGUUAUCCGGAAUCACUGGGCGUAAAGGGAGCGUAGGCGGUUUGACAAGCCAGAGGUGAAAGGCAAUAGCUUAACUAUUGUAAGCCUUUGGAACUGUCAGACUUGAGUGCAGGAGAGGAAAGUGGAAUUCCUAGUGUAGCGGUGAAAUGCGUAGAUAUUAGGAGGAACACCAGUGGCGAAGGCGACUUUCUGGACUGUAACUGACGCUGAGGCUCGAAAGCGUGGGGAGCGAACAGG
rnacentral:rRNA from 1 species